rnacentral:rRNA from 1 species
AGAGUUUGAUCAUGGCUCAGGACGAACGCUGGCGGCGUGCUUAACACAUGCAAGUCGAGCGACUGCAUCUUUCGGGGUGUAUGGAGCGGCGAACGGGUGAGUAACACGUGAGUAACCUGCCCCCAACUUUGGGAUAACCCCGGGAAACCGGGGCUAAUACCGGGUAGGACCUGCUGCGGCAUCGUGGUGGGUGGAAAGCUUUUGUGGUUGGGGAUGGGCUCGCGGCCUAUCAGCUUGUUGGUGGGGUGAUGGCCUACCAAGGCGACGACGGGUAGCCGGCCUGAGAGGGCGAUCGGCCACACUGGGACUGAGACACGGCCCAGACUCCUACGGGAGGCAGCAGUGGGGAAGAUUGCACAAUGGGCGGAAGCCUGAUGCAGCGACGCCGCGUGAGGGAUGACGGCCUUCGGGUUGUAAACCUCUUUCGACAGGGACGAAGCGUGAGUGACGGUACCUGGAGAAGAAGCGCCGGCCAACUACGUGCCAGCCGCCGCGGUAAUUC